UAACGCGAAGAACCUUACCCAGGCUUGACAUCGAGGGAAAGGCCGUGAAAGCGGUCCCUCCCCGCAAGGGGACCCGAAGACAGGUGUUGCAUGGCUGUCGUCAGCUCGUGUCGUGAGAUGUUGGGUUAAGUCCCGCAACGAGCGCAACCCUCACCGUAUGUUGCCAGCGUAGAGUCGGGCACUCUUACGGAACUGCCCGUGCAAGCGGGAGGAAGGUGGGGACGACGUCAAGUCGGCAUGGCCCUUACGCCUGGGGCUUCACACAUGCUACAAUGGCCGGUACAGAGGGCUGCGAUCCCGCGAGGGGGAGCGAAUCCCACAAAGCCGGCCCCAGUUCGGAUCGUAGGCUGCAACUCGCCUACGUGAAGCCGGAAUCGCUAGUAACCGCAGGUCAGCUAAACUGCGGUGAAUACGUUCCCGGGUCUUGUACACACCGA
rnacentral:rRNA from 1 species